GAUUUCUGGUACGAUGCGCCUAGCCCGUCCUCGUCAGAGGCACGUGUGCUGGUGUGCGUCUGCCAUCUUUCUAGAGAGCUGCACUAUCCUUCAUUGGUUUGGUGUUAGUCAUCUAGAUCUUUUACUUUGAAAAAAUUAGAGUGUUUCAAGCAGGCAUGUUUUGCUAUGAAUACAUUAGCAUGGAAUAAUAAUCUAGGACUUUCGGUUCUAUUUUGUUGGUGUUCUGGAGCUGAAGUAAUGAUUGAUAGGGAUAGUUGGGGGUGCUAGUAUUCAAUGGCCAGAGGUGAAAUUCUCGGAUUCCUUGAAGACUAACUUAUGCGAAAGCAUU
rnacentral:rRNA from 1 species